rnacentral:rRNA from 1 species
AUGAACGCUGGCGGCGUGCCUAAUCCCUGCAAGUCGCGCGAACAGACGAGGAGCUUGCUCCUCUGACGUUAGCGGCGGACGGGUGAGUAACACGUGGAUAACCUACCUAUAAGACUGGGAUAACUUCGGGAAACCGGAGCUAAUACCGGAUAAUAUAUUUAACCGCAUGGUUCAAUAGUGAAAGACGGUUUUGCUGUCACUUAUAGAUGGAUCCGCGCCGCAUUAGCUAGUUGGUAAGGUAACGGCUUACCAAGGCAACGAUGCGUAGCCGACCUGAGAGGGUGAUCGGCCACACUGGAACUGAGACACGGUCCAGACUCCUACGGGAGGCAGCAGUAGGGAAUCUUCCGCAAUGGGCGAAAGCUUGACGGAGCAACGCCGCGUGAGUGAUGAAGGUCUUCGGAUCGUAAAACUCUGUUAUUAGGGAAGAACAAAUGUGUAAGUAACUAUGCACGUCUUGACGGUACCUAAUCAGAAAGCCACGGCUAACUACGUG